AGGACGAACGCUGGCGGCGUGCUUAACACAUGCAAGUCGAGCGGAAAGGCCCUUCGGGGUACUCGAGCGGCGAACGGGUGAGUAACACGUGAGUAAUCUGCCCCUAGCUCUGGGAUAGCUCCGGGAAAACCGGGAUUAAUACCAGAUACAACCACUUUAGACAUCUCUUGUGGUGGAAAGAAUUUCGGCUAGGGAUGAACUCGCGGCCUAUCAGCUUGUUGGUGAGGUAACGGCUCACCAAGGCGACG
rnacentral:rRNA from 1 species